GAUGAAGAACGUAGUGAAAUGCGAUAAGUAAUGUGAAUUGCAGAAUUCAGUGAAUCAUCGAAUCUUUGAACGAACAUUGCGCCCAUUAGCAUUCUAGUGGGCAUGCCUGUUCGAGCGUCAUUUCAACCCUUAAGCCCUGUUGCUUAGCGUUGGGAGCCUACAGUACUGUAGCUCCCCAAAGUUAGUGGCGGAGUCGGUUUCACACUCUAGACGUAGUAAUUUUUUCUCGUCUGUAGUUGAGCCGGUCCCCUGCCGUAAAACACCCAAUUUAUCAAGGUUGACCUCGGAUCAGGUAGGAAUACCCGCUGAACUUAAGCAUAUCAAUAAGCGGAGGA
rnacentral:misc_RNA from 1 species